rnacentral:rRNA from 1 species
AAACUAGAUGCUAGAGUCCGAAGAGGAGUAGAUUCACAGUGUAGCGUGAAUGCGUAGAUAUUUGAAGAUACAUGCGAAGCAGCUUCCUGUCUGUACUGACACUAAGUGCGAAAGCGUGGGUAGCGAACAGGAUUAGAUACCCUGGUAGUCACGCCGUAAACGAUGACAACUAGCUGUGGGAGACAAGAUCUCUCAGUGGCGCAGCUAACGCUUAAGUUGUCCGCCUGGGGAGUACGGCCGCAAGGUUAAAACUCAAAUGAAUUGACGGGGACCCGCACAAGCGGUGGAGCAUGUGGUUUAAUUCGAUGCAACGCGAAAAACCUUACCUACUCUUGACAUACUUGGAAGCUCUUGUAAUGAGAGUGUGCUUUUAGAGCCAAGAUACAGGUGCUGCAUGGCUGUCGUCAGCUCGUGUCGUGAGAUGUUGGGUUAAGUCCCAUAACGAGCGCAACCCUUACCCUUAUUUGCCAGCGGUUCGGCCGGGAACUAUAAGGGGACUGCCGGUGACAAACCGGAGGAAGGUGAGGACGACGUCAAGUCAUCAUGGCCCUUACGAGUAGGGCUACACACGUGCUACAAUGGGGAAUACAGACGGACGCUAAAGCGUGAGCUGGUGCUAAUCCUAAAAAAUUUCUCGUAGUCCGGAUUGCAGUCUGCAACUCGACUGCAUGAAGUCGGAAUCGCUAGUAAUCGCGAAUCAGCAUGUCGCGGUGAAUACGUUCUCGGGUCUUGUACACACCGCCCGUCACACCAUGGAAGUGUGUUGCACCAGAAGUAGGUAGUCUAACCCUCGGGAAGGCGCUUACCACGGUGUGAUCCAUGACUGGGGUGAAGUCGUAACAAGGUAA